AACGGGGUAGUUCAAUUGGUUAGAACAAUAGAAUCAUAAUCUGUAUGUUGUGGGUUCAAAUCCUAUCCUCGUUA
rnacentral:tRNA from 1 species